UACGUAGGGACCAAGCGUUGUUCGGAUUUACUGGGCGUAAAGGGCGCGUAGGCGGCGUGGUAAGUCACUUGUGAAAUCUCUGAGCUUAACUCAGAACGGCCAAGUGAUACUGCUGUGCUAGAGUGCAGAAGGGGCAAUCGGAAUUCUUGGUGUAGCGGUGAAAUGCGUAGAUAUCAAGAGGAACACCUGAGGUGAAGACGGGUUGCUGGGCUGACACUGACGCUGAUGCGCGAAAGCCAGGGGAG
rnacentral:rRNA from 1 species